AACUGUGAUCCUAUUCACGAGCAAAUCAUUUUCAUAAAGUCUUCAACGACAACGUGUAUAUAUUACCUUUAACUUUAUAUACAAGCAAUUUAUUUUCGUCAAGUCUUCAAUUGUGCAUAUUCAUUGAUCAAGUCAAUUGACAAAGCGUUUACACGCAGUAACAAAAGCAAAAGGACUGGAUACACGGAAAAACUCUCCAGCUAAAAGCAUCGACGAAAUGAAUUCUUUGAAGUGCAUCAUGCUUUUAUUGGCAUUUGUUCAAUUUGCAAAAACAUCGCCUGUCACUUUCUGGGAAUAUGUCGAUAAACCAGACAAACCUUUUGGGGGAUGCCGAUGCCGACAUACCUCAGAAGGAAUGGGAAUUAUACGUCGUUCGUGCAAAAAAAAUGAGACAGUCUGUAGAUAUUAUAAUCCCCAUUUUGUUUGCUGUGUCAAACGAUGAUUGUACUAUAAUAAAUUAAGUACAUUUCAUUGAAACUAAAAAUAAGUACAAUGUUAUUUGCUCAAUAUUUAAUUGUUGAAUGAUAUAAUAUUAAUUUAAAUAAUCAAUAGUGUUCCUUUACUGUUUUGUAAAAACACCUGAUUUAUAGUUCGUGUGAGGAACUUAUACUACGACAGCUCAAAAAAAUAACAGCUCAAUUUUAUUAUUGAUUCAUUAAGAAUUAAUUUAACAACGGAAAA